rnacentral:misc_RNA from 1 species
UAACACACAGGCCUGUAGAAGUGGGCCUCAUUAAAAAGAUAACCGCUAGUCCAACACUUUACCUCCGUAGGGGAAGCCCCCAGCUAUCGGGCGGAGGAGGCACUCAGUGCCGUGUGUGGGCAACACUACCUGGAACAGGGAACGCCUACGGGCCGAUCCUGUGGCGAGUCUGAGUAGCUUCAGACCGUCGCAACGCGCGCUAAGGAGUGGGCUGGUCUUCCUGCGAAGGCCAGCUUAAGGUACGUGCUAAUCCCAUGGGUAACCAUGCUCUCUCACGGAGGCCCGAUAGGCCAAAGUGUUAGGGGGCGCCGCCGUGAGCUUCACUCACGGCCGCGCUGGUUCUUCGCUGCGGCGGCCGCUACAGGGCGAGACAACCCCCUUCUGGGGGACGUGGAUCGCCCGCGGCCGCCGAGCCACAGCGAGGUCUAAUUG